AACUCCAAUCCCUACGAGGAACCAUAGAAGAGCUAUCCGUCACCCUUGGAGAGGAGAGGACCAAGCUGCAGCAGUUGAAGAUCCAGCUAGUAUAAGAGCAGCAGGCGGUCAAGGAUGCGGAGGCAGAGUCCGAGGUCCUGAGAAAAAGGCUCCGAGAGGCGAAGAACGAAAGCCAACGGUUUCAUCGGAGGUAUAUGGAGAUGCUAAUAAGGGAGAA
rnacentral:lncRNA from 1 species